rnacentral:rRNA from 1 species
UGCAAGUCGAGCGGUAGCACAGAGAGCUUGCUCUCGGGUGACGAGCGGCGGACGGGUGAGUAAUGUCUGGGAAACUGCCUGAUGGAGGGGGAUAACUACUGGAAACGGUAGCUAAUACCGCAUAACGUCGCAAGACCAAAGUGGGGGACCUUCGGGCCUCAUGCCAUCAGAUGUGCCCAGAUGGGAUUAGCUAGUAGGUGGGGUAAUGGCUCACCUAGGCGACGAUCCCUAGCUGGUCUGAGAGGAUGACCAGCCACACUGGAACUGAGACACGGUCCAGACUCCUACGGGAGGCAGCAGUGGGGAAUAUUGCACAAUGGGCGCAAGCCUGAUGCAGCCAUGCCGCGUGUAUGAAGAAGGCCUUCGGGUUGUAAAGUACUUUCAGCGAGGAGGAAGGCGUUAAGGUUAAUAACCUUGGUGAUUGACGUUACUCGCAGAAGAAGCACCGGCUAACUCCGUGCCAGCAGCCGCGGUAAUACGGAGGGUGCAAGCGUUAAUCGGAAUUACUGGGCGUAAAGCGCACGCAGGCGGUCUGUCAAGUCGGAUGUGAAAUCCCCGGGCUCAACCUGGGAACUGCAUUCGAAACUGGCAGGCUAGAGUCUUGUAGAGGGGGGUAGAAUUCCAGGUGUAGCGGUGAAAUGCGUAGAGAUCUGGAGGAAUACCGGUGGCGAAGGCGGCCCCCUGGACAAAGACUGACGCUCAGGUGCGAAAGCGUGGGGAGCAAACAGGAUUAGAUACCCUGGUAGUCCACGCCGUAAACGAUGUCGACUUGGAGGUUGUGCCCUUGAGGCGUGGCUUCCGGAGCUAACGCGUUAAGUCGACCGCCUGGGGAGUACGGCCGCAAGGUUAAAACUCAAAUGAAUUGACGGGGGCCCGCACAAGCGGUGGAGCAUGUGGUUUAAUUCGAUGCAACGCGAAGAACCUUACCUACUCUUGACAUCCAGAGAACUUAGCAGAGAUGCUUUGGUGCCUUCGGGAACUCUGAGACAGGUGCUGCAUGGCUGUCGUCAGCUCGUGUUGUGAAAUGUUGGGUUAAGUCCCGCAACGAGCGCAACCCUUAUCCUUUGUUGCCAGCGAUUCGGUCGGGAACUCAAAGGAGACUGCCAGUGAUAAACUGGAGGAAGGUGGGGAUGACGUCAAGUCAUCAUGGCCCUUACGAGUAGGGCUACACACGUGCUACAAUGGCAUAUACAAAGAGAAGCGACCUCGCGAGAGCAAGCGGACCUCAUAAAGUAUGUCGUAGUCCGGAUUGGAGUCUGCAACUCGACUCCAUGAAGUCGGAAUCGCUAGUAAUCGUAGAUCAGAAUGCUACGGUGAAUACGUUCCCGGGCCUUGUACACACCGCCCGUCACACCAUGGGAGUGGGUUGCAAAAGAAGUAGGUAGCUUAACCUUCGGGAGGGCGCU